AGAAGGAAUGGCAGCUUUGCCGUGGUGCAGAACCACCCUGCAGAAAACUCCUGCGCCAGCCCGGGUUUGGGGGGCGAAGUUACAUGAGGGCGCCCGCCGGUGGGCAGAUGAGGACUCAAGGCCCAGAGAACAACUCGGCCAAGGUCACCCGGGACCAAGACCACUGAGUGACAAAACCGACUGGAGCUCUGAGGCCUGCAGCACCUGUGACCUGUCUUUGGAGGAUCUCCUACCAUGGCCCAGUGGCCCCAGGAUGGCUCUCAGACAAGCUUGUGGCCGUGGGAGAGCCCAGCUCCCCUGCCUUGGGUUGGGCAUUUUGGAGGCCAGACUUGCCUUCCAGGGUUCGCUGUGGGAGCAGGCUGGAGCUUCCGUCUGCAGGACUUGUGCAGAAUCACACCCAGGCUUGGCUUGGUCCCAUCCCGGUCCUGCUUCCCCUGCCCCUCACUGGCUUCUCUGAGAGCAACUUUGAA